GACGAACGCUGGCGGCGUGCUUUACACAUGCAAGUCGAACGGAAAGGCCCUGCUUUUGUGGGGUGCUCGAGUGGCGAACGGGUGAGUAACACGUGAGUAACCUGCCCUUGACUUUGGGAUAACUUCAGGAAACUGGGGCUAAUACCGGAUAGGAGCUCCUGCUGCAUGGUGGGGGUUGGAAAGUUUCGGCGGUUGGGGAUGGACUCGCGGCUUAUCAGCUUGUUGGUGGGGUAGUGGCUUACCAAGGCUUUGACGGGUAGCCGGCCUGAGAGGGUGACCGGCCACAUUGGGACUGAGAUACGGCCCAGACUCCUACGGGAGGCAGCAGUGGGGAAUAUUGCACAAUGGGCGGACGCCUGAUGCAGCAACGCCGCGUGCGGGAUGACGGCCUUCGGGUUGUAAACCGCUUUCGCCUGUGACGAAGCGUGAGUGACGGUAAUGGGUAAAGAAGCACCGGCUAACUACGUG
rnacentral:rRNA from 1 species